AUCUGUAUCUAAUCUGCUCAGCAUGCAGCGCGCUCUGUGUUCAUGGCACGAUACGCCCCCAUGUGAUAAGGGCGUUACCCGCCUGUUCACAACGUGUAUAAAACCAGUGCUGAAUAAACGCUGGGGCCCCACUUUUGCCCAGCAAGUGACACACGACGUGUCGUCGUCUGCUCCACUCGAUGCAUGGUGUCAGAAGUGGUUAGCAUGGCAAUGCACUUCCUGCACGACGCGUGAAGACCAGCGAUCCUGUGGCGGAAAAUGGAUUUCCUCAAAGCACCGGAGCCGCUCCUUACAACAGGCGACCUGCGCAAGAACUGGCAGCUCUUCAAACAAAGGUUUGAAAUUUUCCUCACGGCGUCAGAGGUCGCAGAAAAGCCUCGGACUGCGUCCAAGAAGACAGCGUUGCUUUUGAGCGUCGCGGGCGCAGAGGCCAUUGAAGUCUUUAACACCUUCACGUUUGCAGCAGGCGAGAAGAACGACGACUAUGCCACAGUGGUGAAAAAAUUUGAUGAGUAUUGCAUUGCACAGACCAAUGAGGUUCACGAGCGGUAUAUGUUCAGGAGAAGAAUCCAAGCUGCUGGCGAACCAGUGGAGCAUUUCUUACGAGACCUGAAGAAUCAAGCACGUGCUUGCAACUUUGGAGCUUUGGCGGAAUCGAUGGUCAGGGACCAAAUUGUGUUCGGGAUAAAUGACGACACGGUACGUGAAAAGCUCCUCAGGGACAACAACUUGACCCUGCAGAAAGCAGAACAAGCCUGUAAAGCAGCUGAAGCAUCAGCAACUCGCAAGGAAAUGUGGAACCAGGAACACCAAGUGCAUCCUAUCAGCAGGACUAGCACGAGCCGCGAAAACCGAGAACAGACACGUUAUGACUGCCGAAACUGCGGCGGAAAACACUCCCCAAGAAGGUGCCCUGCUUUUGGAAAAACGUGCCGGAGAUGUCAGCGGAAAAACCACUUUGCCAGAUGUUGUAAAGCGACGGCAGUUGUUGGCGAGUUGCAAAGCGGCCAAGACGAUUUCGAGAUUCUCGACGUAUCCGCAAAGAAUGUGUCCAGCAAGCAUGACUGGACGGUGGAAGUCCAAAUGAAGAACGUGGCAGUUCAGUUAAAGGUUGACACGGGAUCGCAGGCAAAUUUGUUGCCUUAUGGAUUAUACGCCAAAAUGAACCCACAGCCGCCCCUGUACCCCAGCAGCGCGAUUUUACGCUCCUACGGCGGAGAUGUAAUCAAACACAUUGGCGUCAUGCGGGCCGAAGUCUCUUUAAAUGGUUGCAUUGCCAUGCUGAGCUUUUUCGUGGCACGAAAGGGGCGCCAAGCAAUCCUAGGACUUGAGGCGAGUGAACGCCUGGGACUGAUUUCACGCGUGAACAGCGUGUCGCAAAACAGCUCUGAAGAAGUGGUUGCCAGCUUUCGUCACCUUUUCACUGGCACCGGCUGCGUCAAACGAGUAUACCACAUGGUGCUUCGCAAGGACGCCACGCCAGUGGUUCAGAGACCUCGUCGAGUGCCACUGGCUUUAGAGGAGCCACUUCGGGAGGAGUUGUCACGUAUGGAACAAGCCGGAAUAAUUGCAAAAGUCACUGAGCCAACAGACUGGGUGAGUCCCCUUGUUAUCGUACGAAAGAAAGACGGGAAGCUGCGAGUCUGCAUGGACCCCAGGAAAAUAAAUGAGUGCCUCAAGCGCGAGCACUACGCGAUGCCGAGGCGGGAAGACAUAGAGGCCGAGCUGGCCGGCGCAAGAGUAUUCACUCGCCUAGAUGCAAACGCAGGGUUUCACCAAAUUCCCUUAGAUGACGAGACGUCUAGGAUAUGCACUUUUGCGACACCCUUCGGCCGCUAUCGAUUUUUGCGACUGCCUUUCGGAAUAUCAUCAGCGUCCGAAGUAUUUCAGCAAACCCUAAGUGAAAUUUUUGACGCGCUUCCUGGCGUUAGAGUGUAUGUCGAUGACAUACUCGUGUGGGGCAAUUCCCAACAAGAGCACGACCAACGUCUAAGAUCAGCGCUAGAAGCGGCAGAACGUGCGGGCCUUACGUUCAAUCCAGCAAAGUGCGAGUUUGGCGUUCAACAAAUUGAAUUCCUGGGCGACGUGAUAAACGAAGAAGGAAUCCGUCCAAAUGCAUCCCAUGUUGAGUGCAUGUUGCAGAUGGCACCCCCUAGUGAUAAACUAGCAGUUCAACGCAUGCUGGGUGUCGUGAACUAUUUUGGAAAGUUUUUGCCAACACUAGCAGAAAGGACAACGCUUCUCAGAAGCUUGCUAAAAAAAGACGCUGUUUUCGAAUGGUCGGCAAAUCACGAAAAAGAGUGGAGAGCGCUGUGCGACAGCCUUAGCAAGCAGCCCUUGCUAUCAGUUUUUGACCCUGAAAAAGAAACCAGGUUAUCAUGCGAUGCGUCACAAAACGGAAUCGGUGCUGCCUUGCUGCAGUAUCACAACGGUGCAUGGAAACCGGUUGCGUACGCCUCCAGAGUGCUUACUGAUACGCAGCAACGCUAUUCACAAAUUGAAAAGGAAGCAAUGGCCAUAGUUUUCGGCUGCGAGAAAUUUCACCAUUUCAUGUAUGGGCGGAAGGUUGUCGUUGAGACUGACCAUCGUCCGUUGAUCUCCAUAUCGCAGAAGGCGAUCGGUGACAUGCCGCCAAGACUGCAGCGAUUUUUUUUGCGUCUGCUACGCUAUGACAUUUUAAUGCAUUAUGUUCCAGGAAAACAGCUUCUACUGGCGGACAUGCUGUCCAGGGCUUCCGUUAAGGACGCAGCAGAUAACGCAGACAACAACAACAACGACGACGUCGAAGUGCACGCAGUCAACUCCACUGGAAUGCGGCUGGUCACCAGCCGAAAUAUUACAGGGACGCUCGCUGCGAACAACUCUACCAGCCGUUCAGGUCGGACAAAGCCGGCGGGUUGACAAACGCCAGCAAAAAGACUACUCAAGAGGGCCACUCGCACCGCUCAACAACGGCGAAACGGUCAGAAUAAAAGACAGCUCAUCAUGGAGAAGAAAGGCUCGGGUUCUUCAGUCGUCUGGUCAACCAAGGUCAUACGUUGUCAUGACUGAAGACGGGCAACUCUUGCGACGCAACCGCGAGCAUCUGCUGCCAACCAGAGAAUCUUUUCGCCUUAGCGGUCCUCCUCACGACGACGAAGGUGUUUUUCAAGAAUACGCUGCCCCUGCCAGCACACAACACGACCCAGAGGCGGCGCAAAACCCAAACAGCACAGCGAGCAUUGUGCCGACAGUUCCGCAACAAGCAGCUGCUCCAAGGACUACAAGACAACGCAGACCACCUCGGCGCUUAAUGUAUGACGCGAACUUUCAACAAGUGCCGUGACUGUAUUCAGUGCUCUGAUCUUUGCUGUAGUUUUGGAUGUGCAGUGAUUCUUUAACUUUCUUUUUGUUCUCCCGAGCUAAAAGCGCUCCUUGUCCUUAGUUUUUUUUUUCGUUACGAAGGGGGAUGUAUCGUAAUCUGUAUCUAAUCUGCUCAGCAUGCAGCGCGCUCUGUGUUCAUGGCACGAUACGCCCCCAUGUGAUAAGGGCGUUACCCGCCUGUUCACAACGUGUAUAAAACCAGUGCUGAAUAAACGCUGGGGCCCCACUUUUGCCCAGCAAGUGACA